AUGUCUCUUUGAAGAGAGAACAUAAGGAGUCUGGCCUGCCCGGUGACGUGGUUUAACGGCUGCAGUAUCCUGACUGUGCAAAGGUAGCAUAAUAACUUGCCUUUUAAUUGGAGGAUGGAAUCAAUGGCUUGACGAGAGCAAAACUGUCUUUUCAAUUUUUAUUAGAAUUUAUCUUUCAAGUUAAAAGGCUUGGAUGUAACUAAAAGACGAUAAGACCCUAUUGAGCUUUAAAGAAAUAAAAUAAUUAUUCAUUAUUUACUAAAUUGAUAAUAAUUUUAAAAAAUUUUGGUUGGGGCGACUGUGGAGUACAAAAAACCUCCAAAUGUAUAAAACAAACUACUAUUCAUGAUCCAUAUUUUGUGAUAAAUGGAAUUAGUUACCAUAGGGAUAACAGCGCACUACUUUUAGGGAGACCUUAUUUCUAAGAGAGAUCGCGACCUCGAUGUUGGAUUAAGGCAUACUGAAAGGCGCAGAAGCUUUUUAAGUUAGUCUGUUCGACUAUUAAAUCCUU
rnacentral:rRNA from 1 species